AACGUACGCUGGCGGCACGCCUUAUACAUGCAAGUCGAACGCAGUAGCAAUACUGAGUGGCAGACGGGUGAGUAUAAUGUGGGAAUCUGCCUUUGGUUUGGAAUAACUCGGGGAAACUUGAGCUAAUACCGGAUAAGCCCUUACGGGGAAAGCUUUUAUGCGCCGAAAGAUGAGCCCGCACUUGAUUAGCUUGUUGGUGAGGUAAUGGCUCACCAAGGCAACUAUCAAUAGCUGUUCUUAGAGGAAGACCAGCCACAUUGGGACUGAGACACGGCCCAGACUCCUACGGGAGGCAGCAGUAAGGAAUCUUGCACAAUGGGGGAAACCCUGAUGCAGCGAUGCCGCGUGAGUGAAGAAGGCCCUUGGGUUGUAAAGCUCUUUCGUCGGGGAAGAAAAUGACUGUACCCGAAUAAGAAGGUCCGGCUAACUUCGUG
rnacentral:rRNA from 1 species